ensembl:lincRNA Gm42708 predicted gene 42708
ACAAAGCCAUGAGACACAGGUAGUACUGAAAUCUUAAAGGUUACCAGAUACUCCCCAAGUGCCACAGAGUAGGAACGGUUUUGUGCGUAAAUGGACCUACAGGGCUAGGAAUCACUGUUGGGGUGGUUAGAAAUGAGUUCUGGGAAGACCAUGUGUCAUGGAUAGAUGUGGGUGUCAUCAGGGCAGAAGCUAAGGUCUUCAGAGAAUAAUACUUCCCUGCCGCUGUCUCCAGUGUGCACUGCACAGAGACCAUUGGGAAAUCUCAAUCUCCUUUGCAUACUCAGAUUAUAGACCCCCGUCUCUGAUUCACGGUGGCAUCUUCUGUUGUGACCACAGGCAAAGACUCUCAAGGCAAAUGGCAGCUUCCAUGCCUAGUUCGUGCUCUGAGACACCAGUGUGGCCACUACCUCUAGCUCUGUCCACUGGGAAGACACCCUUUUAUCCAUUCAAACUCCCAGUAAGAUCCUGGCUGCCAGAGCCAAGAGUACAUUCACUUCUGACACGGUAGAGGGUUAUUUCUCCACCAUAUUCUAAUUAGGACAACUGUUGUUUUUUGCUUUUCAGUAUUUUCCAGUAUGCUUUAUGCCUUCCCAAAAUUUCAUUGAUUCCAGUUCCUACACACACACACACGAGAGAGAGAGAGAGAGACAGAGAGAGAUUCCUUCAAACACUUGGAGCUGUCUCCCUCUGUAUCCUCACACAGACACUCACUUCUAUCUUGUUUGAUAGAACCUUAGUGCAGACUGGCAAAGGUUAUUUAACUUUUUGUUCAUUUUGAACCCAUAGUGAGUAUUCUACCAUCUUGGCCUAGCCAUUGGAAAAAGUCCUUAAUCUUUAUCAAGCAGAAUGUGGAGGAAUGAAGAGAACAAAUUCAUCACAACACCUAGAAUAGAAUUAGUCA